GAAUUAUUGUCCCCUCUCUUCUCCUUGGCUAGCACUAGAGGCUAGUGUCAGUGAUCUACCAGCACGGCAGCACGUACUGAUCGAUCUAUCUGCUAUCUAUCUAUCUGCCCUUGCAGAUGUAUAUAUGCUUCCUUCCAAGGGCCAGCCACCCACAUAAAUAUGAGUGAGAUCAUCCCCCUUGCUAUAUCGUCUCGCACACGCCAGCUUAAAUUCCCAUAUGCAUCUUGACAAACCUUUCUAGAUAGAUAGACAGAUAGAAUUGAGCCGUGACCUCACUCUUAAUUUGGCCCCUCUCUCUUUCUCCACACGACUGAUCACUGCGAUAUCACCACUGACGAGAUGGCACCAAGGUCCUCGUCAACUCGCUACUAGAUCGUCCGAGGCAGGCACGGCCGGCCGUCAAUUGAUCUCCCAUGGAGGCGAGCAAGGGAAGCGAUGGGAGCUCGGGCGCCUCGGCGAGCAACGAUGACAGCACGGUGGAGGAGGAAGGAGCGGGCCGUGAAUCGCACGAGGACGUCUGCAGGGGGAACUCUUUGUCGUCCUCGUCGGUGCGCCCCUACGUUCGCUCCAAGAACCCGCGCCUCCGCUGGACGCCGGAGCUCCACCACUGCUUCGUCCGUGCCAUUCAUAGGCUCGGCGGCCAAGAUCGUGCAACUCCGAAGCUCGUUCUUCAGUUGAUGAACGUCAGAGGGCUUAGCAUAGGCCAUGUCAAGAGCCACCUCCAGAUGUAUAGGAGUAAGAAGAUUGAUGACUCAGGCCAGGUCAUAGGUCAUCUCCCCUUGCCCCAUGCCUUCCAUCAUCGCCAGAGUGGUGCGGGCACCAUGUCGUCAAGGUUUGGUGCUGCUGCAUGGCCUCCAUGGAGAAGCUUCCAUGAACCAUACUGGGCCCAUGGUCGCCCCUUCCUUGGAUCGAGGACCUACAACUCUUUAGAAGCUGAAACCGAGGCGGCUUUCCUUCGGUCCCGAGCUCAACAUGUAGCUCGAGCUGCAUCUAGCAAUCCAGGAUUGAUGAUGCAAUCAGGCUGUGCAUCUCUGAACGAUCAUCAUACCAUGAACCACCAGCAUAAACGACUGCUGCAACCGACAGUGCGUAAUGACGACGAUACCCAUGUUCCUCUUGAUCUUGAUCUCGAUCUCGAUCUCUCGCUCGGUCUCCCCGUGCCGAGGAAGGAGGCGAAGUGGAAGAGAUCGGGCUGCAGCUGGGUGAAAGAAGGCCCUGAUGAGAAUGGAGCCGAUGAAGAACAAGUGGAUGAGAUCAGCACUGCCACUAUGCUAUCUCUGUCCUUGUUCUCUCCUGGGGAUGCUCCUCGGAUGAUGAGUAGUACUAGUGCUAGUGAUCGUGCAGUAAAUGUCAGUGUGGAUAUUAAGAGAGGAGGGAAAGAUGAGCAUGCUACAAGGAGGGCAAGUACUCUUGAUCUCACCAUAUGAUCAGUAUGUAAUGUGGUGAUAUCUCGUGGUACUUGUCCAUACAUCCAUAUAUGUUAUAUUAUGUAGAGCGAACAUAUAUAUACCUAUGUUUUACCAUACAUACUAUGUUAUCUUCUAAU
rnacentral:rRNA from 1 species